GCGGAUGUGGCUCAGUGGUAGAGUACCUUGCCUGGCAUGCAUGAGGCCUUGGUUUAGAUCCCCAGCACUGCA
rnacentral:tRNA from 1 species